GACGAACGCUGGCGGCGUGCCUAAUACAUGCAAGUAGAACGCACAGUUUAUACCGUAGCUUGCUACACCAUAGACUGUGAGUUGCGAACGGGUGAGUAACGCGUAGGUAACCUGCCUGGUAGCGGGGGAUAACUAUUGGAAACGAUAGCUAAUACCGCAUAAUAUUAAUUAUUGCAUGAUAAUUAAUUGAAAGGUGCAAUUGCACCACUACCAGAUGGACCUGCGGUGUAUUAGCUAGUAGGUGAGGUAACGGCUCACCUAGGCGACGAUACAUAGCCGACCUGAGAAGGUUAUCGGCCACACUGGGACUGAGACACGGCCCAGACUCCUACGGGAGGCAGCAGUAGGGAAUCUUCGGCAAUGGACGAAAGUCUGACCGAGCAACUCCGCGUGAGUGAAGAAGGUUUUCGGAUCGUAAAGCUCGGUUGUAAGAGAAGAACGGGUGUGAGAGUGGAAAGUUCACACUGUGACGGUAUCUUACCAGAAAGGGACGGCUAACUACGUG
rnacentral:rRNA from 1 species